CCAGUGUGAAAGGUGGAUGGUGGAGAGGCUGUUUCUCCCAGUCCACAGAAUGCGUGUUUCCUGAUUAAAGCUGAAGACAGGCAGCUCAGCUGCUCAGCACUUCAGGAGCAUGCGGUGAAGACCGUGACACUCACUGGGGAGCAGGAAGGAUGACUCCUGUGCGUGAAUGUAUGACCUGAGCAGUAUCUACAAACCAUCCGUUCUCCAGAGAUGAGUGCAGGGGAGCUGGCCAGAUGCUUGCCUGGAGAUUUCAUUCAUGGGAAGUGUCAAAAUAUUCCCAGAAAUGCACAGUAACAUAGAAAGUAGAAUACUGGAUGUUCGAAAGGAUUUCUUUGAUAAACUUCUUGGAGUUUGCCAUAAAACCCAGGGGAACUCUUCAAAUGACAAGCUUGGUACCAAAAUGGUCUUUUGAAAAGAACAAGAUUGGUUAAAUAGUCACUGUUUUUGGCAGAGUGGCGUACUUAGGAUUGGAUUACCGCUCAACUUCAAAAUCGUAUGGCCUGUGACCAUGGACACCCACCCUCUCUUGGGGUCUGCAGGCCAGCUCAGCGGGGACUGUCAGGAUGGGCUCCAGGAAGCAGGGUGUGUUCAGGUCUGUCUCUUACUUCCUCAUUCCCCUUAGACCUGCACCUACCAGGCUUGUCACCAAGGCACAAGGGAAUGAGCGAGAACCAGCCAUACCCCCGAGACCUCGCCCCAAACCAACCACUGUCAUUUCUGCUCACACUCUGAGACCAAGCAAGUCUCCGGGCCAAGCCCAGCAUCCCCGGUGCAGGGAAGCACAUCCCUCCAUCUUCACGGACGUGUCCAAAGCCGCGCGGCAAUCAGUGUGGUGGGAAGAACAGGGCACUUGACCACCUGACGCACGAACUGGGAGGGCUCCCACUCUGUCUCCACGCCACACGUAGCUUCUCUAUACAGAUGCUGGGCAAAAAUAGGAAGCAUGUUGAUCUGAAUCCUGUAUCAAAUGAUGGAGACCAGCAGACGUGUUGAUCAUUAAGGCUUCAGCAGCGUUCCCAGCAUAACUGACUAAAUGGCGAAAGACACCUUGAUGUUCAAAACCUCCUGAGCUACCCAGCCAUUCUUCUGAAGAAGAUUAGGGCUACUGCACGCGAACCCUUGAACAGUGUCUCAAUUAUUUACAUUCUGGUUGUGAUAGAAAACUUGGAAAAUAGAAGAAAGAAUUAAAAUAUUAAUCAAUAAUUGGCGGCCCCUCCAUCCAGAGAUCACCUCUGUUCGCAUUUUCAAAUAUUCCUUCCGUUUGCUCUGCUAUGCAUAUUGCUAUACAUAAUUCUCACCAUAUUUCAAAAAUAAUUUUAAUAGUCAACAUUGACCAAAAACUGUUUACAUUAAGUUUAUUAUGAACUAAUUUUCCCCAAAUAAGAGUUAACUUACUGACAUAGUUCCUUGGGAAGAGAAUGUGUUUUUUUUACUAAAAAUAAUACAAUUGCUAAGAAAAUACAGAAAAUAGUUCAGUGUAAUUUAGUACAACUAUGCUAUCUUAGUCAUUGACAUCUUUGUGUGAUGUUCCCAGCUUCCUCUGUAAAGGUAAGUCCUGUGGCAGCCGCCUUCAUCGGGAAUGGGCAGGAGACAGUGCCCCUGCCUGCAGCAUUCGACACACCAGGGACAGAACAUCCUGACCGCCAGCUUCAUGGAAGACAAUUUCCAUAUCUACCACUUAAGUCUAGAGGUUCUCUAUCUCUUGUUUACAUGUGCAACUCCCUGAAGAUAAAAACCUGUUAGAUUCAUUAAC
rnacentral:lncRNA from 1 species